rnacentral:tRNA from 1 species
UGGCUCAGACGGUAAAGAAUCUGCCUGUAAUGCAGGAGACCCAGGUUCGAUCCCUGG